rnacentral:rRNA from 1 species
UACGUAGGGUGCGAGCGUUAAUCGGAAUUACUGGGCGUAAAGCGUGCGCAGGCGGUUCGCUGUGUCCUGUGUGAAAGCCCCGGGCUUAACCUGGGAAUGGCAUGGGAAACUGGCGGGCUGGAGUGUGGCAGAGGGGGGUGGAAUUCCGCGUGUAGCAGUGAAAUGCGUAGAGAUGCGGAGGAACACCGAUGGCGAAGGCAGCCCCCUGGGCUAACACUGACGCUCAGGCACGAAAGCGUGGGGAGCGAACAGG